UACGAAGGGGGCUAGCGUUGCUCGGAAUCACUGGGCGUAAAGCGCACGUAGGCGGCUUUUAAGUCAGGGGUGAAAUCCUGGAGCUCAACUCCAGAACUGCCUUUGAUACUGGGAGCUUGAGUCCGGGAGAGGUGAGUGGAACUCCGAGUGUAGAGGUGAAAUUCGUAGAUAUUCGGAAGAACACCAGUGGCGAAGGCGGCUCACUGGCCCGGUACUGAC
rnacentral:rRNA from 1 species